UACAUUGUAGAUAAUAUUGCUAUUCCUAAGCUUGAAAAAGAUUGGGAUGAUAAUGAUAGAAAAAGGGCCCAACGAAAUGCUAAGGCAAUGAACGUACUUUAUUGUGCCUUAGAUGCAAAUGAAUUCAAUAGGGUUUUGAUAAGUGCUGAAUAAUUUAUAAUUUAGUUAUCUUUCCAUAGCACUUAUCAAUGUUCUUAAACUGAUAAAUAUGUAUUUUACCAUGAAAUUGAAUAAUUAUUGAAAUAUAUUUAAAAUAUGGUAAGAAGUAAAUAAUUCUUUUCUUAAACCAGACUCUGAACUUGUCUCUCUCUUGGUUGCGAUCUUUCAUGAAAACUACAGGAAAACAUAUAAGGAGGAGAUUGUGUUGACCCGAUUUGGUAACCUAAUGGAGUUGUAAUCAAGCUAAGGUUAUAAUUAAAUGGGUUUUGGUCCUGAUUAGAUUGAAAGUUAUAAUUAAUUAUUUUUGUGUGGGGAAAGGUUUGAUUAACCUUUUUAUUAAGUCAUGGUCUUGUUUUUAGUCUUUUUUAUUUUAUCUGGUCGAGUUCAGUCUGAAGCAGUUUAGCAAAAAUUAAAUUUAAAUGAUAUUGGGCUCGAGAACAAGUUCAAGCAAAUCAACGAUCAUGACCGACCUCAAAUCCAAAGCCAAUUUCCAACCAAUCCCAUUCCUUUCCCGCGACUACCGUCUGUGGCUCCCCUAAGCAAUCCAACGGUUCAGAAAUUUUCAUCUCCGCAUCACGUUUCCAAACUAAGCAAAAUAGGGGAGACCUUUGUUUUAAAUCCACAUAUGCCCAUUUUCACGUUAAAAUAGAGCAAGAAAAAGAACUUUUCUCAAAAUUACUGAAAUCAUUGUUCAUAUGAACAGUGUUUUGAAAUCAAUGUUCAUAUGAACAGUGUUCCAAAAUGACACUGUUCAUAUGAACAGUGUUCCGUGAAAAUACUGUUCAUAU
rnacentral:lncRNA from 1 species